rnacentral:rRNA from 1 species
AACGAACGCUGGCGGCAGGCUUAACACAUGCAAGUCGAACGGGUGUAGCAAUACAUCAGUGGCAGACGGGUGAGUAACACGUGGGAACCUUCCUAGGGGUACGGAACAACUCAGGGAAACUUGAGCUAAUACCGUAUACGUCCGUGAGGAGAAAGAUUUAUCGCCCUUAGACGGGCCCGCGUCGGAUUAGCUAGUUGGUGGGGUAACGGCCUACCAAGGCGACGAUCCGUAGCUGAUCUUAGAGGAUGAUCAGCCACACUGGGACUGAGACACGGCCCAGCCUCCUACGGGAGGCAGCAGUGGGGAAUCUUGGAAAAUGGGCGCAAGCCUGAUCCAGCCAUGCCGCGUGAGUGAAGAAGGUCUUCGGAUUGUAAAGCUCUUUUGCCAGGGACGAUAAUGACGGUACCUGGAGAAUAAGCCCCGGCAAACUUCGUGCCAGCAGCCGCCGUAA